rnacentral:tRNA from 1 species
GGAGGGUAUAGCUCAGUGGUAGAGUGUGUGCUUAUCAUGCUUGAGGUCCUGGGUUCAAUCCCCAGUACCUCUA